UACGUAGGGGGCUAGCGUUGUCCGGAAUCAUUGGGCGUAAAGAGCGUGUAGGCGGCCCGGUAAGUCCGCUGUGAAAGUCGGGGGCUCAACCCUCGAAUGCCGGUGGAUACUGUCGGGCUAGAGUGCGGAAGAGGCGAGUGGAAUUCCUGGUGUAGCGGUGAAAUGCGCAGAUAUCAGGAGGAACACCUAUUGCGAAGGCAGCUCGCUGGGACGUAACUGACGCUGAGACGCGAAAGCGUGGGGAGCAAACGGG
rnacentral:rRNA from 1 species